rnacentral:rRNA from 1 species
AGAGUUUGAUCCUGGCUCAGAACGAACGCUGGCGGCGUGGAUAAGACAUGCAAGUCGAACGGGACAACAUUUGUAGCAAUACAGAUGUUGUUUAGUGGCGAACGGGUGCGUAACACGUGGGCAAUCUGCCGAAAAGUGGGGGAUAGCUCGCCGAAAGGCGAAUUAAUACCGCAUAUGGUCAGGGAAGACAUCUUUCCGAAUCCAAAGCCGGGGUAACCUGGCGCUUUUUGAGGAGCCCGCGGCCUAUCAGCUAGUUGGUGAGGUAACGGCUCACCAAGGCUAUGACGGGUAGCUGGUCUGAGAGGACGACCAGUCACACUGGAACUGAGACACGGUCCAGACACCUACGGGUGGCAGCAGUCGAGAAUUUUUCUCAAUGGGGGAAACCCUGAAGGAGCGACGCCGCGUGGAGGAUGAAGGCUUUCGGGUUGUAAACUCCUGUCAUUUGAGAACAAGGAUUAGCAAGUAACUACUGCUAGUUUGAUAGUAUCAGAAGAGGAAGGGACGGCUAACUCUGUGCCAGCAGCCGCGGUAAUACAGAGGUCCCAAGCGUUGUUCGGAUUCAUUGGGCGUAAAGGGUGCGUAGUGGCGCCGAAGUCG